GCACAUUCGCAGGCUUUAAGAAGGUUUUAAUUGAUUUAUUUUUGCACAUAAAUUGAAUUAUCAGUCACUUCUUCUCUUUAGCCUCUCUGGGGGUCUUUAGUCCCCUGCCAUCGCCACUCAUGCAUCUCGCAAAAGGUUAAAGUUAAGCUCACAUUUCGCAUACGCCGCGUUGGCGGGUGUUGACAAAAGAUGUGGAAAGCUAUAGGUUAUAUGUAUGCAGAAGUAUACAUAUGUGCAUAUGUGGGUGGGAAACUCUCUGGGUGGAUGUUUGUGGAUGUCUGUGCAUGUGUGUGUUAUUGUUAUUGCUUGCGAUGCGGUUCAUUUGGUUAAUGCAUCUCAUCUGGGUCGGGCCUAUUAUUCACGGUCUGCAUUGUAUAAUGACAAUUUCCAUAAACGAGAGUGUGCAAGCGGGUGAGCGCAUGUGUGCACCCAUUGUUGGCCUGAAGGCUUUGUCUCUAUCUUCUCAAGCAUUCGAAAAUGCUUCCGAUAUCAGGCAGCCACCUGGAAUACAAACCAUAUUUGAGCACUGCACUCCCACAAACCGCUUCACAUAGUAGCUGCAAGAGCAGGAUUUUCUAGAUGGCAGUUAAAAGGCCAGUUUUAACAGCUUCUAGCUUGGAUGUGAGUGAUCGAUAAUGUUUAGGAAUUAUGCCAGAUCAAAGUGGAUUGCCAUAUGCCAAUUCAUAGAUUUGCUUUGUGUUUGAAAU
rnacentral:lncRNA from 1 species